AGAUCGUGACCGACCACGGAGUAUGUUUCGCUUUCAAUGUCAACUCAAAUGACAGUCCACUCGUCUUAUCAGAAUCGGGCACAGAAUCAGCCCUCCAUCUUGUCCUCAACAUAGAGCAGUAUGAGAACAUGAUAGGGCCCCACUUCGCCGCCGGGAUGAAGAUUCUUCUCUAUGAUGAAAAUGACGUGCCAGUCUUUCUCGGACACGGGCAGGGCCUGGCUGCUGGGUCGCAUACCUUCGCUGGGACAAGCGUAAGAGUGAUGAGAAGGCUUGCUGAACCAUUCGGUAACUGCAGUGGUACCAAUCUCAAGCUUGACUAUUAUCCCAAGUACACCGAGAGAGCAUGCCAU